AACGAACGCUGGCGGCGUGUCUUAAGCAUGCAAGUCGAACGAGAACCAAUUAGUAGGGGUUUAGUAUUAUUAAACCCCUACAGGGGGAAGUGGCGAACGGGUGAGUAACACGUGGGUAAUCUGCCCUCGGAUGGGGGAUAGCACUAGGAAACUAGUGGUAAUACCGCAUAUUAUCACACUUCUAUAAGGUCGUGUGAUAAAAAGUGCCCUCUGCAUAUGGUACCGUCUGAGGAUGAGCCUGCGGGCUAUUAGCUUGUUGGUAGGGUAAGAGCCUACCAAGGCAACGAUGGCUAGCCGGCCUGAGAGGGUGUACGGCCACAUUGGGACUGAGAUACGGCCCAGACUCCUACGGGAGGCAGCAGCUAAGAAUAUUCCGCAAUGGGCGAAAGCCUGACGGAGCGACGCCGCGUGGACGAUGAAGGCCUUCGGGUUGUAAAGUCCUUUUCCUGGGGAAGAAUGAAGUCGAGAGUAACUGCUCGAUCGAUGACGGUACCCAGGGAAUAAGCUCCGGCUAAUUACGUGCCAGCAGCCGCGGUAAUACGUAUGGAGCUAGCGUUGUUCGGAUUUACUGGGCGUAAAGGGCUUGUAGGUGGCAAGACAAGUCGGAUGUGAAAUCUCCGGGCUUAACCUGGAAAUUGCAUUCGAAACUGUCUAGCUAGAGUGCCGGAGAGGGAAAUGGAAUUCCUGGUGUAGGGGUGAAAUCUGUAGAUAUCAGGAAGAACSCCGGUGGCGAAGGCGGUUUCCUGGCCGGAUACUGACACUGAGGAGCGAAAGCUAGGGGAGCAAACAGGAUUAGAUACCCUGGUAGUCCUAGCCGUAAACGUUGUGCACUAGGUGUAGGUGAGUUAAUUCACUUGUGCCGCAGCUAACGCAUUAAGUGCACCGCCUGGGGAGUAUGCUCGCAAGGGUG
rnacentral:rRNA from 1 species